UACGUAGGGUGCAAGCGUUGUCCGGAAUUAUUGGGCGUAAAGAGCUCGUAGGCGGUCUGUCGCGUCGGAUGUGAAAAUCCAGGGCUCAACCCUGGACCUGCAUUCGAUACGGGCAGACUAGAGUUCGGUAGGGGAGACUGGAAUUCAUGGUGUAGCAGUGAAAUGCGUAGAGAUGUGGAGGAACACCAGUGGCGAAGGCGGCUCUCUGGUCUGUAACUGACGCUGAGGCGCGAAAGCGUGGGGAGCGAACAGG
rnacentral:rRNA from 1 species